GGUUGGAAAACUGUUACCAUGGAAACUCUCCAAGUUCUGAAGUGAUAUUAUCAGUAAAGCUCUGGAGAGAAGACGGAAGGUGGUGGGUGUAGUACUCAUGAAUGGAUACAUUCUACAAGUUGGGCUUUUUCUUUCCUUUUAAUAGAGAAAAGACAUAGUUAGAACAUCAAAGAUGUUGGAAUUAGGAAGACAUUGAUCCAGUUAAUUUUGCAGCCACUUGUUAUAUCUUCUUGGGCUUUCGGGAAGGAAGAGAAGGCCCCUGAACCAUCCAUGGAUGGCAGUUAUCAAGUCUACAGAAACAUCAAAUGAAAGGUUAUUUUACCAAGUUUUAUCAUCUCUACUCAAACACUCUACUGGCAAGUAAAUCAGAAGAAAUGGGCUAAAGCUACAACAUGAAAAAUAUAAGUUAGGCAUGCAGGGAAGUUUCCUAUCUUAGAGGGUUGGUAUGUAUUGUUAAAUAUCUUGAGGUUAUUUGACAGCUUUUCCUUCCAAAUCUCUCUGUGGGGAGUGGUGAGGGAGGGAGAGAAAUGACUGACGUUUAUUGUUAAGAAGGAGCUGGAAGUCUCAUGCAUGGUAUCAUAUUAACAUCACAUAAACUCAGCCAGGGACACAUUAAGAACCUUAUAUAUUCAGAAAAGAAUUCAGGAUUGUUUGAGUUGGACACAUUAUCCCCCAAGGAAAUGCUGUUAGGAAAUGGUGGAAUUGGUCUUAAGCCUAGCCUCUGAUUUUCCACAUUAUCACAUUUUGAUUUGUAAGAUACACACCUAGAUUUGGAAAGUUUUAUUGGCUAUCGGACAAGCAGGGAGAUAGACAAAAUUAAUGCUCACAAAGUCCUUUUCAGUCCCAGACAUCUGUGAGUCUAUGAUAUACAACAAAUUAUUUCCUCUGCAAAUCCAAACCAUAGGCUACAUAGUACAAAUUUUUUCCUUGUUUUCAGCUGUCAGCUACUUGACUGCCCCUCACCGCCACUUUGCAAGUCUUGAUUGCCAAGCAUUUAUUUUCUUUUUCCAGUUUGUCUGGAAGACAGAAUGCCUCAGGAAGGGAUUGUUGGGUUUUUCAUAUAAAGCACAUGAAAUAUCUGUAAUUAUGGAUUACAUUUUUGUACCCAAUAUAUGGCUGAAAGGAGUCCUGUGAUAGAAACUUUUAGAAGAUAAUUGAAUGUGUCAGCUGCAUCAAGAAAUUAUGUACUUGCUUCACUUCGACAAACUGUAAUAAAUAGCCUAUUGUCUGGA